AUUUAAAUGAACAAGGGAAAAACCUUGUGAAAUCCGAAUAAAAGGGAUAACAAUCGGGCAUCGCCCCUUUAGAUGAAGAAAGACAGAUAUCCAAUUGAUACAAAUCAAUCAACAAACAUGACAAACUUCAGGAUCACAAGUUUAGUUUCAUGCUUCAGAUAACCAACAUUCCUUAUACUUGAGAGUCAAAAGUCUAGGCUCAACAAAAGAUAUCGUUUAGAGUCAUAACAUAAAGGUCUUAAGUCAAGAAAACGAAAGACAAAUAAAGGCUAGUACUACAGCGGAAGUCAAAACACGGAGUUGAACCCUAGCCUCAGCUCUCCCCAUCAACACCAGCCAUCAACCUGAAAAACAUUUGAAAAUAUUUGGGCUAAGUACUAAUGUACUUAGUGGGCUGCAACUUUUAAAACAUUUCACAAUUCGUAAGAGCAGUUUAUCCAAUCAUUCAUGACAUAACUUAGAAGGUUUUAAAGUAAAGGAACUUCUAAGCAUGUUAAAGUAUUUCAUUUUAUUAGCGCGUUGUUGUCACACUCUGUUUAGUUACUCGCUGUGAUACUAGACCUUUUAGCCACCAACGUAUCGCUUUCUCCGAUGACACUUGCCCUGAGGACGUAACUCAGACAAGUUGAAUUGACCUCGGGACGCUACCCAGGCAGGCCUUACAUGAUACAUGCUCCAGAACACAUCCAGCCAAGCACCCUUAUAACGCCUUUUACAGGAAUUAGUGCCCGAUGGAGAUCAACCCAUCGAAACAACUAACAAGUGUACACAAUUCUCAAAUAACGUGUUAGGCCAUAAGAGAACCUCGAUCGAUCCAUGAAUUGCAAGCCUUAAACAUAACAGAGCGCACAAAAAAUAUUUAUUGGAUAAACAGUUUGCAUUUCAUGAAACAUUUAGAGCUUAGUAACUCAAACAUACAUUUGGAAAAUAAGCCCACCUGUAUAGGCAAUGACUGUCGUUUAUUCUUAUCUCUGAAUCGG
rnacentral:lncRNA from 1 species